GCUCUUGUGGCUCAGCGGUAGAGCACUCCCUUGGUAAGGGAGAGGUCACGUGUUCGAUUCACGUCAAGAGCACCA
rnacentral:tRNA from 1 species